AGAGUAUGAUCCUGGCUCAGAACGUACGCUGGCGGCACGCCUAACACAUGCAAGUCGAACGAAGUAGCAAUACUUAGUGGCAGACGGGUGAGUAACAUGUAGGUAUCUACCCUAUGGCCUGGAAUAACACGAGGAAACUUGUGCUAAUACCGGAUAAGUCCUUACGGAGAAAGCUUUAUGCACCAUUGGAUGAGCCUGCACUUGAUUAGUUUGUUGGUGGGGUAAUGGCCUACCAAGACUGUGAUCAAUAGCUGAUUUGAGAGGAUGAUCAGCCACAUUGGGACUGAGACACGGCCCAAACUCCUACGGGAGGCAGCAGUGGGGAAUCUUGCACAAUGGAGGAAACUCUGAUGCAGCGAUGCCGCGUGAGUGAAGAAGGCCUUUGGGUUGUAAAGCUCUUUCGUCGGGGAAGAAAAUGACUGUACCCGAAUAAGAAGGUCCGGCUAACUUCGUGCCAGCAGCCGCGGUAAUACGAAGGGACCUAGCGUAGUUCGGAAUUACUGGGCUUAAAGAGUUCGUAGGUGGUUGAAAAAGUUAGUGGUGAAAUCCCAGAGCUUAACUCUGGAACUGCCAUUAAAACUUUUCAGCUAGAGUAUGAUA
rnacentral:rRNA from 1 species